GGGUGCAUAGCUCAGUGGUAGAGUAUGUGCUUAGCACACACGAGGUCCUGGGUUCAAUCCCCAGCACCUCUA
rnacentral:tRNA from 1 species